rnacentral:rRNA from 1 species
AUUGAACGCUGGCGGCAGGCUUAACACAUGCAAGUCGAGCGAGCGGCGGACGUGUGAGUAAUGUCUGGGAAACUGCCUGAUGGAGGGGGUUAACUACUGGAAACGGUAGCUAAUACCGCAUACCAUCAGAUGUGCCCAGAUGGGAUUAGCUAGUAGGUGGGGUAAUGGCUCACCUACGCGACGAUCCCUAGCUGGUCUGAGAGGAUGACAAGCCACAAUGGAACUGGGACACGGUCCAGACUCCUACGGGAGGCAGCAGUGGGGAAGAUUGCACGAUGGGCGCAAGCCUGAGGCAGCCAUGCCGCGUGUAUGAAGAAGGCCUUCGGGUUGUAAAGUACUUUCAGUCGGGAGGCGUGACCGACAGAAGAAGCACCGGCUAACUCCGUGCCAGCAGCCGCGGUAAUC